ensembl:lncRNA
GCCAACCGCUAGCACUUCCCACGGAAUCCUGCCUCACUCUUGCCCGUCCAGCCUGCACCCCGAUGCUUCUGGGGCUUUCAUCGACCCGCGGGCUUGACCAGAGAUGUCCCUGGGUGGGAAUGAACUUUGUACCCCGCUCCAGGGUUGCUGAGACUCGGCUUCCCCUGACCCCUGACCUGGUGGGCCAGGCUGGAAGCCAGGCGCUCACUCUCGCAGCCCUGCUCCAGUCAGCGCAGGAUAUAUACAAGCUGGAGACGAAGGAGGCUCUCGGAUCCUCCGGGUGACCUCGCCCAGCGGGGGUUGCAUGUCAUUGGGCCAGGAGGGGUCAAAGGCCGAGACAGCGGAGACACUCUAAGUCCGGAAAGGAAUUCCACUGCAACAGCCGCUCUCUGAGGCUGAAUCGAGGCCAAAUGACAUUUAAUGAGGCAGUGAUUCCUCACAGGGCCCUGGGGCUCGCACCCUCUAAGCCCUCUCUCAAGAAGCUUUCCUUGGGACUUUCUGGCCUGAUCCCUGGUAGGGGAACUAGAAUCCAACGUGCUUCGGAGCAACUAAAUCUGAGUGCUGCAAAUAAAGAGUCCGUGAGGCGCCACAAAGAUUCUGCGUGCUGCCAUGAAGACCCGACUCAACCAAAUAAACAAAUAGAGGAAAAAA